GCUAGGCAGGAUUUUCAGGGCAGAAAGAAUGCUGGGAAGAAGAAGGGUGGAGUCAAAGGAUCUCGAGGAGAAGUGGAAAGAAGGAGAUGAAUUUGCUGUACUGAGAAAAGUGGUCUUGGAGUCAAUACGUUGAAAUGAGAAGAGAUUUCACCCAGAGAGGCUGGCCAAAAAUGGGAAUGUCAAGUGCCAGGAAGGGGGACCAAGUCUGACGUGGGCCCAAGAGAAAAGCAGUAUCUUGAGAUGGAGGUGUUGAGACCCAGGAAGAGAGACUCCUAUCCACAAGGUUGGCAGCAGGUCGGGCAAGCCCAGGACCUAGGGAUUCCACACCUCUACUCAACAAGCUCUGUGUGUCCUCACGGGCCCCGUGGCAGCAAUCACGUAUGUCGUCAUUGUGUGUGGCUACUGGCCUGUUUUUCCAUUACACUAUGCACCAGGUAGCUAUUUUCCUAGGAUGGCUGUAGUUCCCAGCCCCAUGGAACAGGCAAAAAUGUAAAAUAUGCUUAAUAAUAACAUUGAGAGCAAGCCAGGCAUCCAUCAAUAGCUGCUGGCAAAGGCAAAAUGCGGUAUGCUUAGGCAAUGGAAUAUUAUUCAGCCAUCAAAAGGAAUGAAGCCUGGGCUAGAAAGAAAGCACAGCUGGUGAAGCACUUGCCUUGCAAACCCGAGUGUUAGUUUCUGCGGCCACCGCCGCCGCAGCAGCAGCCUGCCUCUGCCGCCAAAGCAGUUCCCUCACCGCCUGUCGCCAGGUGCCUUUCCACCGUGAGCUAGGGGACAUGCGCACCCUUUAAAAGUGCCCGCCAGGCACGGCUCGCCCUCUUUGCCUCUCUUGCCUCUUACCCCUCCUUGUCUCUUCUCUUCUCUCCUGCUUCUCUUCUUCCUCUUGUCUGUCUGCCUUUCUCAAGUCCCCAUCCUGACACGGCCUCUCUCUGCCCCCUCUCCCAGGCCUCCCCCCUCCCCCAGGAAACCUCUUGCACUAACUCUGUUGCAUGUGGUGUGUUUGCUUAGUUCCUUGGCAGGGCCUGCCAAAAGGUACCCACUAUCGCCUUUCUUUUCAUUUAUCCUUUCAAUGAGGACCUGAGCUCAGCAUCCCAGAACCCACAUUUAAAAAGCCAGAGGGCCAAAGAAAUAACUCAGAGGUCAGGAAAACUUGCCCCACGGUCACGAGGACAGGGAUUUGGAUCCCAGCAUCCACAUAACAAGUUGGGUACCCUUCUGAUGCCUACAGCCUAGCUGAGAGAAGAGAAGUUGCAGGUUUAGGGAGAGACUCUGACUCAAAGGAAAAGACAGAGCGUGAGAGGAGAGGACACUUGAUGUCCGCUUCAAGCCUCUGCACAUGCUACACAUGUGAGCACACACAUUAACUAAUUAGUUAAUUAAGCAAAUGUUUUAUUGUCUGUGUAUGGCCUGCCUAUAUGUCUGUGCACCGUGUGUGUGUGUGUGUGUGUGUGCCUGGUGCCAGCAGAGGCCGGAAGAGGGCAU